GAUUACCCUUUAAAAUGGGUUGUAGCUGAUGAUCAAGCAUCAUUCACUUCUGAGGGCGAGGCCAGGACAUCAGUAACGUUUAAGGCUUCCCAGAUCAUUCUGAUGAGCAUCCAAGAUUAAAAAUCACUGGUUUUAAGUUGUGUUUCUCAAAUGUUAUGCGUACUCACCUGGGAACAUUGUUAGGUUGAUUUGUGGCAGGUUCUGGAAGUCUGUAGUUCUAGCAAGUCUCCAGGUGAUGCUAAUGUUGGCUGGUUUCUGAACCUUCUUUUGAGCUGCAAGGCUUUGAAGAGGUUGAACAACCUGCCCCGUGGCUGGUCUGAAUUUCAAACGCUGGCUUUCCCAACUGAAGAUUCUGAGUUCUUGAGUUCCGUGAUGUUACUGUGUCUCCUACAGAUUUAAAUCAAGCAUUAUGAAGCACAGUGUGACGGGAAGAACGUUCAUCUGCAGGCCGUGACCUACCUGCUCCCAUAACUCUAAAUCGAAGGUUCCCUGCUCAGGAAACCGAGGGCAUGUGUGCUGAAUGAAGAGCGUAAGCUUGUGUGGAGCUCCAGGCUCUAGGGCGCACUGGGCAGCCGCAUUCUAUCAAUGGACAAGAGUGAUGUUACAAUUUCCAGCUGUGACUGUAAAACACUGUGAGUUUCUGUUUCAUAUGUUUUAAAGUUCUCGUAUUAGGCACGUAAACCUCCGUAAUUGUAUUUGUUCCUGAUAAAUUGAACAUUUUAUCAUUAUGAAAUACUACUUAUUACCUCUGGAAAUAUUUUUCUUUCAAAGAAUCGGUUGCCUGUGAUAUUAACAUAGCCAUCUCAGCCUUCUUAAGGUUGCUGUAAACAUGAGUUUUUCUGUAGACUUGUUUUCAACUUGUCUCUGUCUUUGUAUUUAAAGGGAAUCAAUGAGAGAUAGCAGAUAGUCAAGUCUUUCAUGUUUUUUUAAUCCUUUCUGAUAAUCACUGACUUUUAAUUGGAGUGCUUAGUCCAUUAAUAUUUAAUGUGAUUAUUGAUACAGUUGUGAUUUAGUUCUGCCCUUUUGCUUUCCAUUUUCUGUUACUUGUUUCUAUUUUUUAGUUAUUUAUUUCCUACAUUCUACUUGAUUACUGCAGUAUUAUUAGAAUUGUUUUAAUGUUACAAUAAGCUUUCCAACUUCACCUUUUACAUUAAUUUUUAGUAGUGGUUCUAGGGAUUAUAAUAUACAUUUUUAAUUUUUCUGUGUAUUUACUGUCAAUACUGUACCAUUUCACAUUUGAUGUAGAAAAUUUCUAACCACCUUUGUGUUACAGUUACAUAUAUCACAAAUACAUAACAUUGUAACCCCCCGGAGACAUAAUAAUGUUUGUUUUAAAUCA
rnacentral:lncRNA from 1 species